rnacentral:rRNA from 1 species
AACGAGCGCUGGCGGCAGGCUUAACACAUGCAAGUCGAGCGCCCCGCAAGGGGAGCGGCAGACGGGUGAGUAACGCGUGGGAAUCUACCCAUCUCUACGGAAUAACGCAUGGAAACGUGUGCUAAUACCGUAUACGUCCUUCGGGAGAAAGAUUUAUCGGAGAUGGAUGAGCCCGCGUUGGAUUAGCUAGUUGGUGGGGUAAAGGCCUACCAAGGCGACGAUCCAUAGCUGGUCUGAGAGGAUGAUCAGCCACACUGGGACUGAGACACGGCCCAGACUCCUACGGGAGGCAGCAGUGGGGAAUAUUGGACAAUGGGCGCAAGCCUGAUCCAGCCAUGCCGCGUGAGUGAUGAAGGCCCUAGGGUUGUAGAGCUCUUUCACCGGUGAAGAUAAUGACGGUAACCGGAGAAGAAGCCCCGGCUAACUUCGUGCCAGCCGCCGCAGUAAGAC